UACCCGCGGAAUUUAA
rnacentral:rRNA from 1 species